rnacentral:tRNA from 1 species
GCCUGCUUAGCUCAGUUGGUAGAGCAACGCAUUCGUAAUGGAAGGCCGGAGGUUCAAAUCCUCUCGCCGGCACCA